AGAAAGUUAAUACAUUAAUCAGGUUGGUCCUUAAUCCUUUAUCUUUCUGUAGAUGAAUGGCCAAAUUUUGAAACUUGGAUUUGUAAGGUUUGACAUAAAUUUUGGGUGCUAUUGUUGCCUUAGUAAUUGUGUGGAAGCUCAUAAGUGUUUGACAAUAUGGAGAAUAUCAUUGAUGGCAUUAGCCAAUGGUUACUUGUCUUUUCCUUUUCCUCAUUCUUUUGUUAACAUAUGAACUAGACCUGAAAUGUGGGUAUAUAUGAUCAAAUUGAAGCAAUGGUAUGUCCGGCAUCUGAAAAGUAGGUCACAGUCAUCUUUGCUGCAUCACAUGGAUAGAUCAAGAAUAAACUAAACUGUCAUCAUUAGAUAUUUAUGAAUGCGAUGCAAGUAACUCUUGAUCUGAUUAUUACUUCUCAUUGAGAGUUUGUGACCCUCUUACAAUCUUAUUUUAUGUAAAAAAUGCUGCAUCCUUUUUCUUAUGUAAAUUGGAGUCCAAGAUUAUUAUAUGUUUAAGACAAUCAAGUGGAAAUGGGUGACCUUUCAAUUUCUCAUUCUAACAUAUGAACUAUAAUGUUGUAUUAAGUUGUGUAUGGUUCUUUCUUGUUAUCUUUUCUAUCCAGCGAAUGUCUAGAAACUUACUCUAUAUGAACCUUUUUGUGUUCCAGGCCUGAUGGUACGAAGAAAGCAUAUGUCAGGUUGACACCAGACUUUGAUGCUUUGGAUGUGGCAAACAAAAUUGGAAUCAUCUAAAUUUGUUAUUGGCUUUGUCUCUUUAGUUCUCAUCAUUUUGUUUUGUACCGAAGUAAGUAAUUUUGUUGACAUCAAGCGGAGAGAUUUGUUGAAUUACUUCAAACUUGUAGACUUGUGGUACUGCUUUCUGGUUC
rnacentral:misc_RNA from 1 species